AAAGUCUGAAUAUAAUUUCUCUAAGCUGCAAUUUAUAAUGCUAACGUUUUACCAUUUUACCCCCCUCAUUAAGGAGAGGAAGAAAGCUUCUAAGCCACUCUAUUGAGCUGUUGAAAAACGUCUUACAUUGAAAUUCCGAUUUAGAGAUAGGCACAAUCCAUCUGCUUUGCAUACCUUUGCCCUUUAAACCAGUAUUUGUGAUAUAAAGAAGCACACAGCUUGCAGAGUAGCUGAAAUGUGUAAUUCCAUUUUUUAUCCAGGAGAACACCAUGAACAGUUUAAAGGGGCAGAAGUGCAGCAGUUUGGCUGAGCUAUUCCACAAGCUUCCUACAGUUUACCUACAUUUCUCCUGGCAGAGCAUGAGCUUCCUGUGAGAAGGAAAACCUCACCAAUAAUUACAAAGUGUGGGAAUAUUUGUGUUUGCUCUUGGUGAUGAUGGCUGUGACACCCAGCCCGUCCUCAGUGCUGCGACAGCAAGGGAAGGAGCUGGAAUGCAAGAAACAACUCCCAGUGAUACCCACAGGUAAAAAUUAUGA